rfam:Eubacterium sp. CAG:192 genomic scaffold, scf327
UUUAGGAGAAAACAAAAUGAACGAAGUUUAUUUUUAGAAUGUUUUCGACGAAAUGCCGAUAAUCAAAGGAAAGGAACAAUACAUAUA